GGAGUUUGGACCGUGUCUCAGUUCCAAUGUGGGGGACCUUCCUCUCAGAACCCCUACUGAUCGUAGCCUUGGUGGGCCGUUACCCCGCCAACAAGCUAAUCAGACGCAUCCCCAUCCUUAACCGACAAAAUCUUUGGUCCGGGUCAGAUGCCCUCGCUGGACCACAUCGGGCAUUAAUCCGGUUUUCGCCGGGCUAUUCCCUAGUAAGGGGAAGGUUGGAUACGCGUUACUCACCCGUGCGCCGGUCGCCAUCAAAGUUUGCAAGCAAACUUCAUGCUGCCCCUCGACUUGCAUGUGUUAAGCCUGUAGCUAGCGUUCAUCCUGAGCCAUGAUCAAAACUCU
rnacentral:rRNA from 1 species